GCAGUUGUAGUUCAAUGGCAGAGCAUUUUGCCUUGUAUGGAGAAGGGUCCCAUGUUCAAUUCUUGGCAUCUUCA